rnacentral:rRNA from 1 species
UGCCAGCCGCCGCGGUAAUACGUAUGGUGCAAACGUUGUUCGGAAUCACUGGGCUUAAAGAGCACGUAGGCGGUUGAGAAAGUCUGGUGUGAAAUCCCUCAGCUCAACUGAGGAACUGCACUAGAAACUUCUCGGCUAGAGUGCAGGAGGGGAGAGUGGAAUUCCUGGUGGAGCGGUGAAAUGCGUAGAUAUCAGGAGGAACGCCGGUGGCGAAAGCGACUCUCUGGCCUGCUACUGACGCUGAGGUGCGAAAGCGUGGGGAGCGAACAGGAUUAGAUA